AAUAAAGAUGGCAGACUAGUGCAUUAGAUUUAAGAUCUAAAUAUGAAAAUGAAAUUUAUUUCUCUUUAUAA
rnacentral:tRNA from 1 species